rnacentral:rRNA from 1 species
CCUACGGGCGACAGCAGUGAGGAAUAUUGGUCAAUGGACGAGAGUCUGAACCAGCCAAGUAGCGUGAAGGAUGACUGCCCUAUGGGUUGUAAACUUCUUUUAUAUGGGAAUAAACUGUUCCACGUGUGGGAUUUUGUAUGUACCAUAUGAAUAAGGAUCGGCUAACUCCGUGCCAGCAGCCGCGGUAAUACGGAGGAUCCGAGCGUUAUCCGGAUUUAUUGGGUUUAAAGGGAGCGUAGGUGGAUUGUUAAGUCAGUUGUGAAAGUUUGCGGCUCAACCGUAAAAUUGCAGUUGAAACUGGCAGUCUGGAGUACAGUAGAGGUGGGCGGAAUUCGUGGUGUAGCGGUGAAAUGCUUAGAUAUCACGAAGAACUCCGAUUGCGAAGGCAGCUCACUGGACUGCAACUGACACUGAGGCUCGAAAGUGUGGGUAUCAAACAGGAUUAGAUACCCCGGUAGUC